rnacentral:sRNA from 1 species
GCAGGGUGUGGUGGCGCACACCUGUAAUCCCAGCUGCUCAGGAGGCUGAGGCAGGAGGAGGGCGAGUUCAAAGCCAACCUCAG